AUUAAAAAUAUGUUCAUUGAUCACGUAUAUUUAGAGAGGCCUGUGUUAAGUAUCUGAAUAAGUCACCAUUCGAUGUGUAUAAAACAAAAUCGUGCAUUUUCUAUUUUUCUGCUAAAGUUUGAAAUCCUAGGAGAAGAAUAAGGUUAGCGGGGAAGUUUUGAAAACCCACGAGUCUUGUCAAUGCAUCAUGCCAUCCGAAACCGACCAAGUUGCGACAUAUGUCACCGGGUGUGUUCUACGCCAUCCAACUUACGGAAACAUGUUAACACCGUCCACAACAAAACCGAACGACCUCGUUUUCCAUGCGGAUUUCCCGGAUGCGGAAAAACCUACUCGAGCAAGAAUGCUUUGUCAAUCCACAUGAGAGCUGAACAUGCCGAAAAUCCGACCCGAUUCCCGUGCACACUUUGCGGGAAAGAAUGCAAGGCCAAAAGCGACCUUGAGAGACACAUCUCCACCCACACGACGGAAAAGACGUACACUUGCUCCACUUGUGGAAGGAGCUUUGGCCAUCGGACAACUCUUACACGUCACGAGGUUACACAUUUGGAAACAUCGACCAGAAGGAUUUUCAAGUGUGAACUUUGUCCUCACGCUUCUUUUCGUAAAGCUCACCUACAAACACAUGUCCAAUCUGUGCAUGAAAAUCAGAGGAACCAUCCCUGUCAAUUCUGUGGCAAGAGAUUAUCGACAUCGAGCAAUAUGAGAAAUCACGUGGAAGCGAGACAUCCGGCGAGUAAAAGGAAGAUUUAUUCCUGCGAGAAAUGCGAAUUCAUAACCCAUUCUAAACAAAGUUUAUCCAAUCAUGAGAGACGUCACAAUCCUGCGAAUCGACGAGACUGCUACUUCUGCAAGAAGCAGUUUUUCUUUUUUUCUGAAUUGGUGACACACUUUCGUCGUCACACGCUUGAACAAUGAUAAGGCAGGAACUUUGUUUCUUUUCUAUUGUCUGUUUAAAUCUUAGAGUGACGAUAUGAUCAAAGUAGGGUCCUUUGACUUUAUCUUUGGAGAAGGACAAGUUAACUUUUUGGGGACUGGUGGGCAUUUGAUUUUUUUGCACAUGAUUUGCUCUUAACUAUUGACUUCCUGGCGCACCUACUACCCUUGUAAGUCAAAUGAAAUAAUAACCCCAAUGGGGGGUUCCACACUUUUUUAACCAGAAAUCACAAAAGUAAAUAAAUAAAUAAAUUGAAAAAAAUCAUUAACUUUGGCCUAUAUUUAAAUAUUUUUUCUUCCCCUAUGAGAUGUUUGAUUAGGACUGUAUUUUUAUUGACCUUAUGUAAGUACCUUUAUUUCCCUAAUUGGUUGUAUUCAGAGAUUUGUAACCGGUUUGGAAAUAUUAGCCCGGAAGGCGUAGAAAGCUAAAGUGUCAAAAUUUUCGGUUUUCGAGCCCCAAAAGUGGUUGGAGGGAACUUUUUUCAACUUUAUAUUAGUUAUUUAUUAUUGCCCUAUAGUAAUCUUUAAAAUUAAAUAAUAAAAAGCCGUGGCCCGCCAGCACACAAAAAGAUCACUACUCCUUUCUAGGCAGGGUCAUGUCAGUUCAAAAUUUCUUCAAUUUCUUUACAGAUUUUAAAGUUUGAAAAUAUGGAUGAUUUAUGCUGAAAGAGUUUGGUUGUAAAGUAAAAUAAAAUACCCUACAUAACGUCAAAAGAUUCUAACAAUUUAAUUUAACGGCAAAUUAAAAUAGUUAUAAAAUAAUUGAACUAAUAGUUAAAUCCGGAUCAAAAAUGGCACGUAAAAAUUAUUCGCGUAAAAAUUAUUUGUGAGGUUUUGUGGAAUAUUUUAUUUUUUUGACAACCAAACUCUCCCAGCAUAAAUGGAUUUUUAAAAUACAAGUUUACAGGAAAAUGUCCUUAACACAUGCGCAUGUAAUUACCAAUCCACUUGUAUUAUCGUAUUGAAAUUGUGUUUUUAAAAAGUUUCGAUGAAUAAAA